CCCAAACCACUAAUGUUUGCUGUAGUGGGUUUGCGGACAUUUCAUAACGGAGGGGUAUCGAAAUGGAGUGGGUUUGGGAAGACCCAACACAGAAGGUAAUAGUCCUGUAUGUUAAACGAGAAGACUUCAGAUAUGCUCCAGAGUACCACGGGACACGUGAAACCCUGUGGGAAGCAGGAGGGACCACCCUCAAAGGCUAAAUACUACCUAGUGACCGAUCGCGUAUAGUACCGUGAGGGAAAGGUGAAAAGAACCCCGGGAGGGGAGUGAAAUAGAACCUGAAAACCUGCACUUACAAGCUGUGGAAGCACAUUUCUUGUGUGACAGCGUACUUUUUGUAGAACGGGCCAACGAGUUACGUUAAGUAGCAAGGUUAAGCACUUAAGGUGCGGAGCCAUAGCGAAAGCGAGUUUUAACUGAGCGUUCAGUUACUUGACGUAGACCCGAAACCGGGCGACCUACCCAUGAG
rnacentral:rRNA from 1 species